AUGAGGUGGUGUGGGGACACGGGGAGGGAGAGGAAAUCUUCCCCUGCUUGGGACAUCCGGGCUCAGAUCUCACACACACACACACCCAGCUCCUGUACACACACACACACACACACCCAGCUCCUGUACACACACACACACACACACACACACCCAGCUCCUGUACACACACACACACAUACACACCCAGCUCCUGCAUGUACACACACACACACACAUACACACCCAGCUCCUGCAUGUACACACACACCCAGCUCCUGCACACACACACCCCCAGUUCCUGCACACACACACUCAUACACCCAGCUCCUGCACACACACACAACCAGCUCUUGCACACACACACACAUACACACACACCCAGCUCCUGCACACACACACCCAGCUCCUGCAUGCACACACACACACCCAGCUUCUGCAUGUACACACACACACACAUACACACCCAGCUCCUAUACACACACACACAUACACACACACCCAGCUCCUGCACACACACACACCCAGCUCCUGCACACACACAUACAUACACCCAGCUCCUGCGCACACACACACACACCCAGCUCCUGCACACACACACACCCAGCUCCUGCACACACACACACACACACACACCCAGCUCCUGUACACACACACAUACACACACCCAGCUCCUGCACACACAUACACACCCAGCUCCUGUACACACACACACACACACACCCAGCUCCUGCACACACAUACACACCCAGCUCCUGUACACACACACACACCCAGCUCCUGCACACACAUACACACCCAGCUCCUGUACACACACACACACCCAGCUCCUGCACACACAUACACACCCAGCUCCUGUACACACACACCCAGCUCUUGCACACACAUACACACCCAGCUCCUGCACACACACACACCCAGCUCCUGUACACACACACACACACACCCAGCUCCUGCACACACACACAGCUCCUGCACACACACACAGCCUGCUCCUGCAUGUGCAUCCUCCCUGGACGUUUAUACCUCCGAGGGACUGGGUUCCAGGCUGCCUGGUUGUCGCCCGGAUGGUUGUGUGGAACUGAAGGUGGAGUGGUUGAACUUAGAAGGGGCCAGUGCUGA
rnacentral:lncRNA from 1 species